GCGGCAAAAGCUCAGAUUUGAAAUCGUGUUUCGGCACGAGUUGUAGAUUGCAGGUUGGAGUCUUUGUGGAAGCGUGUGUCUAAGUCCCUUGGAACAGGGUGCCAUUGAGGGUGAGAGCCCCGUGAGACGCGUGCGGAAGCUGUAAGGCCCUUCUGACGAGUCGAGUUGUUUGGGAAUGCAGCUCUAAGUGGGUGGUAAAUUCCAUCUAAGGCUAAAUAUUGGCGAGAGACCGAUAGCGAACAAGUACUGUGAAGGAAAGAUGAAAAGCACUUUGAAAAGAGAGUGAAACAGCACGUGAAAUUGUUGAAAGGGAAGGGUAUUGGGCUCGACAUGGGAUUUGCGCACCGCUGCUCCUUGUGGGCGGCGCUCUGUGCUUUUCCUGGGCCAGCAUCGGUUUUUGCCGCAGGAGAAGGCGUGCUGGAAUGUGGCUCUUCGGAGUGUUAUAGCCAGUGCGAGAUGCUGCGUGCGGGGACCGAGGACUGCGACAUCUGUCUCGGAUGCUGGCAC
rnacentral:rRNA from 1 species